rnacentral:piRNA from 1 species
UUCACGCAGGAGAGGAAACACAUGU